UGGGGAAUUUUGGACAAUGGACGCAAGUCUGAUCCAGCCAUGCCGCGUGCGGGAAGAAGGCCUUCGGGUUGUAAGCCGCUUUUGUCAGGGAAGAAACGAGUUUCUCUAAUACAGAGACUUAAUGACGGUACCUGAAGAAUAAGCACCGGCUAACUACGUGCCAGCAGCCGCGGUAAUACGUAGGGUGCAAGCGUUAAUCGGAAUUACUGGGCGUAAAGCGUGCGCAGGCGGUUAUGCAAGACAGAUGUGAAAUCCCCGGGCUCAACCUGGGAACUGCAUUUGUGACUGCAUAGCUGGAGUGCGGCAGAGGGGGAUGGAAUUCCGCGUGUAGCAGUGAAAUGCGUAGAUAUGCGGAGGAACACCGAUGGCGAAGGCAAUCCCCUGGGCCUGUACUGACGCUCAUGCACGAAAGCGUGGGGAGCAAACA
rnacentral:rRNA from 1 species